GGGGCUGAUUCUGGAUUCGACGGGAUUUGCGAAACCCAAGGUGCAUGCCGAGGGGCGGUUGGCCUCGUAAAAAGCCGCAAAAAAAUAGUCGCAAACGACAAAACCUACGCUUUAGCAGCUUAAUAACCUGCUUAGAGCCCUCUCUCCCUAGCCUCCGCUCUUAGGACGGGGAUCAAGAGAGGUCAAACCCAAAAGAGAUCGCGCGGAUGCCCUGCCUGGGGUUGAAGCGUUAAAACGAAUCAGGCUAGUCUGGUAGUGGCGUGUCCGUCCGCAGGUGCCAGGCGAAUGUAAAGACUGACUAAGCAUGUAGUACCGAGGAUGUAGGAAUUUCGGACGCGGGUUCAACUCCCGCCAGCUCCACCA
rnacentral:tmRNA from 1 species